rnacentral:lncRNA from 1 species
GACAAAGUGGAUAGGUGAGGAGAGUUAAAAUGGAUUUUUUUCAAAUUUUAUAUCAACCAAUUGCAUGAUUAACAUUCUAUGUUGAAUUGUUGAAAUAAUAUUUUUACAAUGUUAAACUUGCACAAUGUAAAAUGUAAAACUAGUACAGUAAAAAUAUUGGAUUCUGAAAAAAAUUCAUAUCAUAUCUCAUGGAAUCAAUUAAUUCUAAUAAAUAUUAUGAUUUAAACGGAUUUGAAAAGUGAUUUAUUA